rnacentral:piRNA from 1 species
UGAGUUUCCCAUGCUCUACGA